UACAGAGGGUGCAAGCGUUGUUCGGAAUUAUUGGGCGUAAAGCGCGUGUAGGCGGCAGUGCAAGUCGGGUGUGAAAGCCCUCAGCUCAACUGAGGAAGUGCGCCCGAAACUGCAUUGCUUGAGUACCGGAGAGGAUGGUGGAAUUCCCGAAGUAGAGGUGAAAUUCGUAGAUAUCGGGAGGAACACCGGUGGCGAAGGCGACCAUCUGGACGGAUACUGACGCUGAGACGCGAAAGCGUGGGUAGCAAACAGG
rnacentral:rRNA from 1 species